rnacentral:rRNA from 1 species
UACAGAGGUCUCGAGCGUUGUUCGGAUUCAUUGGGCGUAAAGGGUGCGUAGGUGGCGCCGUAAGUCGGGUGUGAAAUUUCGGAGCUUAACUCCGAAACUGCAUUCGAUACUGCCGUGCUUGAGGACUGGAGAGGAGACUGGAAUUUACGGUGUAGCGGUGAAAUGCGUAGAUAUCGUAAGGAAGACCAGUGGCGAAGGCGGGUCUCUGGACAGUUCCUGACGCUGAGGCACGAAGGCCAGGGGAGCAAACGGG